UGGGGAAUAUUGCACAAUGGGCGCAAGCCUGAUGCAGCCAUGCCGCGUGUAUGAAGAAGGCCUUCGGGUUGUAAAGUACUUUCAGCGGGGAGGAAGGCGAUGUGGUUAAUAACCGCGUCGAUUGACGUUACCCGCAGAAGAAGCACCGGCUAACUCCGUGCCAGCAGCCGCGGUAAUACGGAGGGUGCAAGCGUUAAUCGGAAUUACUGGGCGUAAAGCGCACGCAGGCGGUGUGUCAAGUCGGAUGUGAAAUCCCCGGGCUCAACCUGGGAACUGCAUCCGAAACUGGCAGGCUUGAGUCUCGUAGAGGGGGGUAGAAUUCCAGGUGUAGCGGUGAAAUGCGUAGAGAUCUGGAGGAAUACCGGUGGCGAAGGCGGCCCCCUGGACGAAGACUGACGCUCAGGUGCGAAAGCGUGGGGAGCAAACA
rnacentral:rRNA from 1 species